rnacentral:rRNA from 1 species
UACAGAGGUGGCAAGCGUUGUUCGGAAUUACUGGGCGUAAAGGGCGCGUAGGCGGCCUUCUAAGUCAGACGUGAAAUCCCCCGGCUUAAUCUGGGAACUGCGUCUGAUACUGGGAGGCUUGAGUAUGGGAGAGGGAUGUAGAAUUCCAGGUGUAGCGGUGAAAUGCGUAGAUAUCUGGAGGAAUACCGGUGGCGAAGGCGGCAUCCUGGACCAUAACUGACGCUGAGGCGCGAAAGCUAGGGGAGCAAACGGG